AAUAAAACCACCCUUGUCUUGUAUCUGUGACUAUUUAAUAGGUAGUGUGAAUAAAUCCUUUUUUUUAACCCUUGUACAACUACGCAUGAGUGGAUCAGAGCCCAAACCUAGCCAGCCGUGGUUGACUGAUCAAGGUAACAAUAAGAACACAUUCCACACACAAUACCUCUAGGAGCAUCUUCCAUGUACCCACACGCACACAAUACACAUCCCUGGUAUCUCCACUCUGGUAAGGUAGAUAUUUUGCAUAUUCAUGAGCUUUGGUUUAAAUAAGAAUGGGAAUGAAGUUAAGUUUGAAUGAGUGUGAGGAAAUGAGAUGGUAAUUAGUGGAAGGUUGCUGGAAUUUGAAGGGAAAGUGAGGUAGUUGUCUCCAUGAUUCUGAGCUGUGUACAUGUACAUGUAUUUGCGCCAUCACUCUGCUCUGCUGCAGCGAUUUUUUUAUACUUUAGGGUAAUUCAGACCCUAAGAUCUUUUUUCCAAGCAAUCUGGCUUGUGACAAUUGCAGUGCAGCCAACAUUGAAGAUUUCAGAGUGCUUUUCAAGCAAAUUUGUGCUUGAAUGUGUUUUUAACUUUGGCGUGAGGGAGACAAGUCAGCAACAUCGACCAGCAACCACGGCCUAAUCUGAUCCUACAAUUGACGAGGAUAGAUGCACGAAGGCGACGCCACAGGCACUGAAGUCAAGCCAGAGGGCUGAAGGCAGCUUACAGCAGCAGCAUUUCCAGUGUUUUUAACCGUGGAGUGGGUGGCGAGAACUACCAGGAAGAAGUCAGUUGUUUUUAUGCCUGCAUUUAUGUAAUUGUUUUUUAGAUAGUAUUGUAAUAGUGUAUUUUGAAUUUGCAGUAACGUGAGGACGUGAAACGUCAUCAAAAGUAGGAUAAACUAUUCAAUUUAAAUUUGUGACUUCGUUCACACAGACCCUGCGGGGAGUGGACUGUAACUUACAGAGAACCUAAUAAUUUGGUAGUAUUUGCGGAGAGAAAACUGAAAUUUGAUUCCACUUAUACAGUGAAGAUUAAGGAGUUUUGUUUUCAUAUAUUUUGGAGAAGUUUAACUUAAUAGUUUGCAGAAGGUUGUGAAUUUUGGGUAGAUUCAACCGUUCGUAAUAGUGUUAUAUUUAUUUUGUUGGAUAUUUGACCAGUGUAAUUAAUCCCGUAUUCAUUCGUACUUUGGAUGUAAUUGUCCAACACAGCUGGGAUAUUUUCUGUUUAUAUAUUUGAUUGCAAUUUACAAGUGGUGCAUUUGAGAGUAAUUAACUCAAGCUUGAGGUAUUGUUGUAAGUAGGAGUGAUUUUUAAAUUAAUAAAUUAAUUCGGAGAACAGAA